rnacentral:lncRNA from 1 species
AGGGCCAUAUCCACAGCAUAUAGAAGUUCCCAGACUAGGGGUCAAAUCAGAGCUGUAGCUGCUGGCCUAUACCACAGCUGCAGCAAUGCCAGAUCUGAGCUGCAUCUGUGAUCCACACCACAGCUCACAGCAACGUCGGAUCCUUAACCCACUGAGCAAGGCCAGGGAUCAAACCCACAUCUUCAUAGAUAUUAAUCAGACUCAUUAGUGCUGAGCCAUGACAGGAAUUCCUGAAUUAUGCAUAUUUUUAUUAAGAUUGAGCAAACGCAGGAAAUAGUCAAUACUUUACAAUAACUUUGCAUAAUGUGUAAUCUACAAAAUAUAGAAUCACUAUGUUGUACACAUGAAACUAAUAUAAUAUGUUAAAUCAUGUAUACUUCAAAGGAAAAAAAAAGACAGCAAAUAAGUUUUGAUCUUGAGCAAUAAAAUUAUUUUUUCACUUUUUUUUGCUUUCUGUAGAAGCAUCACAUACUGAUACAAUAGAAAUACACUGGGUGUUUAUCGACUCCCCCCCCCCAAAUCUGAAUAUUGAAGAGUAUUUCUGUGGCUUUAGCACUAUUAAAGUUUAGAGAAGAAACUGCACUUAUGUCAAAUUGAAAUUUUUAAAAAGUAAAAUGUUAUUAUCUAACUUACUAAAGACUGAAAACCAGAGGGCAAAGAGGGAUUAGUAUUUCAGAUACAAAAUACUAGAAAGAGAAAAGUGUACAUUAGUAGCUGAGAUAAAAUCAUUCAAUUAACUGACUAUUUUUGAUUCAAAGUCUACUAUAAAAUCAAUUGCUAGUGAUACAAUUCACAUUUGAAACAAGUUUAAAACUCAGCAGAAUAUUCCUGAAUGUUUAAAAAAUUUAUCAGGAAUUCUUUAUCUACUAGUAGCGCCUACUACUUUUAUUUAAAAGUGUGUGGGGGGAUACCUGGGAAAAUAAACCAAUUUUGAAGUAGCAUUGUAAAAAGAAGUUUUAAAAGUAAAUGGCUGCAAAAAAUUCUAUUCAGUGCAUCAAAUUUGCCUUGGCCUAAUCCAUAUUUACCAACUUACUUCCUCCUAGCUAUUUCCAUCAUUUUCUAUCAUUAAACUAAGACAGUAGUUCUCAGUCUUGAAACUAGCAGAAAUAACCCCCUGAGGGAAGUAAUAACUACCUACCUCUUUGACCCCACCUUCUCUGUCUACUUUGAGGCUUCUUCUUCCUCCUUCUGUCCCCUAAAUGUUCCUGCCUGAGGUUUAUUCAUCUUUACUUUUCACUUCUCAUACCUUUGCUUCUGAUAAUCUCAUCUACCUUAUGAUUUUCAAUUAUUGCCUACCUGCACAAGAAUCCCAAAUAGGUGAUUCCAGCCGAGAUUUUUCAAGCGAGUCUCACAUCCCAACUUCCUGCCGGUCAUCUUCAUCUGGAUAAACUGCAAGCGAAACAAACUUAAUGUGUACAAAACCAAAAGCAUGAUCUUCCUACACCAGCUAUUUUAACUCCUCCAUUUCUGUUAGUGCUUCAUUCUUCUACCUAUGUUGCCUCGAGACUCGGAGCUCUUUAAGUGAUCUGCCUUCUCCCUUGCUGUCCCAUCCUUACUGUCAUUAUAUGCAGUAUAUUCACCAAUAUCUUAAUUAGUCUCCUUACUUUCAGGUGAAGAACAUGUCAACUUGAAUCGUCACGCUAAAGUAUAGCUUUAAUCAAGUUUUAUAUCUUCUGUAAAAACCUUUUUACUUCCUAUUUACUUAUAAAAGAAUGUUCAAAUUCCUCAGUCUGUCAUUCAAGAAUUUAAUGCUCUGUCAUACUUUUCUAGAUUCAUUGUCCAUUAUCCUAUAACUUAAAGCCUAUACACUUAAGUUGAACUUUAUUACUCAAUAUUUUCCUAAUAUAACAUGUAAUAUCUUGCCCCUCCACCUUUGCUGAUACUGUGUUGUUGCACGACCUCCAAAACUUUCAAAUUAAAUCUUUUCCAAGAAGCUUUACUCGAUAACUCUCACUUAGCUGUGAUCUCUGUUGAUUUAUUCCUAUAGGCACCAUGAUGCAAUGUAAAGGGUAUGGGCUUUAGAAUUUUCUACAUCUAAGCUCCAAAGUCAUUCUGUUAGCUCUGCGACAGUAAGCAAGUCAUUUUACUAAGUUUUUGUUUUUACAUCUAUAAGAUGAGAAUAAUAUAGCUUACCAAAAAGUCCAAAAGAAAUCUUUCAUAGUGUGAUUGAUGCCAUUAGGAGAGAGUCCAGUUGAGUAGCUGGUUACCAAUAAGCCUGAGAAGGUAAAAAUUUUUUUUCAUCCAGAUAUAUCAAAUGCCAACUAAGGGCUAGGUACUUUAAAAUAAAGAGCAAUGGAAGUUCCUGCCGUGGCUCAGUGGGUUAAUAAACUGACUAGUAUUUAUGACGAUGCAGGUUUGAUUCCUGGCCUCUUUCAGUGGGUUAAAGGAUCCAGCGUUGCUCUGAGCUGUGCUGUAGGUCACAGACAUGGUACAGACCAGUGCUGCUGUGGCUGUGACAUACGCUGGCAGUUGAAGCUCCAAUUUGACCCCUAGCCUGGGAGCUUCCAUAUGCUGCACCUGCAGCCCUAAGAAGAAAAAAUAAAAUAAAAUAAAAUAAAAUAAAAUAAAAUGUGAUGAACAAGAUAAACACAGUCUCUACCUUCAAGGAGUUAAUAGUCUUAGAGUCUAAAUUCACCUCAGCCCAGAGUCUAAUCAUCUACUCUGGAAAUAAAUAUGCUGAACACCUAAAAAAAUGAUCUGGAAUUGAUUGGAUUAAUGUAGGAUACUUGCUAACAACAUCCUUAAUGCUGGUAUAUGAAACCAGAAUAAACAAUUUCUUAUUUACUGAAAUUUUCUAAUUUUCUUAGUUACUGAAAAUGUAACUGUCAAACAAACUGACAUCUCAGCAUUGUCUAACCAGGUAGCUAUAUGGAAUCAGAAUGAGAAUGGAAAAGAUUCAAAUAUUUGAUGGACUUGGGUUCUGACAGCCAGACAGACCAAUCUCUAAAACAGGAAGAUAGACUUUCUUUCCUAAUACAUGUGCAUAAAGAGAUGAUGCCUGGAAAAUCAAGUUCAAGAGAGGCUACAGAAUGAUAUACCUCUCCUAUUUUCCUCAAUUGCCUAAAGAAUUUGCAGAAGAGGUUCCCAAAUAUUCCUGUAGAUUCUAAAGGUAGGGAUGGAAAUGUUUGCCACGAAUCUCUGCAAAAGGUGUUAUCUCAUGGUUAGGCUGAGGGUUACGCUGAGGAAAUGGAUAGAACUCUGAACUAAAUUCUGACCAGAACAUCCGAAUCCUCAUAAGGCAGACAGGAAUCACUAGAUAAAAAAGGAUGAACACAACUGAGUAGCUGCCAUUAGGUAAGAUAACAGCUCAGGGCCAAAAGUUAGAUUUCAUUACCAAGCCAAAAAAUGUCAUUAUUUCCACACCGAUUUUAAGUUGUAGAUUGUACUUCUAAAAAUUUAUGUGUUUGCUAACAUGUUUUCUACAUUUUUUGAAGGCUGAGACAAGGCCUGGAUUGGCUUUCUAUUAGAACACCAUACCCAACAAGAAUACACUCUAAAAUCAAUGUUUAAGAAAGGAAUAAAUGACUCAUCUUAUCCUUAAACAAAGGGCAUACGUAUUAUCUAGGCAUCAUCUGCACAUGAAGUAAACUUGCUUAUGAGAGAGAUGUUCGGUGAUUAGAAGAGGACAUGUGAGACAGGCUUUAGAUGGCAUGAGACUUAAGUAGUACUAGGUUGGCACUAGAAAGGAGACUGAAAUCUCUCUCUCACUUCCCCAUAUACCUUUGGUGUUUGAAUGUCCAUUAAAAGACAGCCUUCAAGACAUAUUGGCUAGACAUGAUAGAAAGGAAAAUAAGAGAGUCAAAACAGCUUACAAAAUAACAUUUCUUCUAGUUUUGUCCAUACCUACUCUGCAGGUCUUUUAGUUCCUCACAAAACUGCUGAGUGAUUAGUAAUUAUAAGCUGUUAACUAUUGUUAUAUAUCUAUCCACCCAUUACUAGAUUCAUUCCAAAGACUAUUUGAGGUGGGUAGCC